rnacentral:misc_RNA from 1 species
GAUCGAGUGAAGACGGAGGCUUGACCGAUUGUUAAUAGCGUCAUUGAAUUUGCUAUUUCUGUUGGAUAUCUUAUUUAUAAUACGCAACAUUCAUUAAAUACCUAGAGUAUUUAAUUGGUUACACCGUCGUGGAAUAAUUCGAUAAAUAAGUAUGAGGCGGAAGAGUGAAAGAAAUAAGGCGAAAGGUUCCCCUGAAAAGAAAGUGGAAAAACCAACAAGGAAAUCAACACGCAGACGUGGAAGGAAAUCUGCUUCAUCUUCUCCAGAUCGUGAUAAUACCGAGGAUAGCAGUACAUCAAGUAUCCCUCGUGCAAAGGAAAAUGAUACUGUACCAGUGAUAGAAGAAAAGUGCCCAGUUAAAGAGUUGGAGACAAUCGUUGAAGUACCGCAAGAUGCUGACCCAAUUGUUUCUUUUAUGGAAGUGGAAGAAACUGGAAAACCAUUGGAAGAAGAAGACGCAGGAUCCGUGUGGAAAGUAGCAAGAGCUGAUGCUUCUCCGGGAGAAAUACAGAAGUUAAAACUAUGCAGACAACGUAAUAUAUCAGAAGCAUCGGAUAAUUCGUUAAGUAGGAAAAAAUCAAACAAGUGGCCUGAAAGUGGUGAGGUAGUCGGGGAGGAGGCUGACUCUGCCGACGAGCAACCAACACCUUCAAAGAAGGUGGCAGGUUCUACGGGGCUGAACGAUCCCUCCUCCUUGCACCUAGGUCAGGACUCCAAUGAAGAGGUAAGUGAUAGCAAGGAGAUCCUGCCCAAAACUGCUUCGGCCGACUUGUCUGACGAUAAACCAAACAUAGAUCAGCAACCUGAUUCAAAAGAAGCAAGUUGUUCCAUCCAAAAUGCUGAUGACGAGAAGUCACCUAAAUCGAGUGGUACUACCGUUGCUCCUAGUUCAAAUGGAGCUGAAUCGAAGGAGUUGAUUGUUAGAGAAGAGAAGACGACAGAAGAUGAGGAAGUCACCAACGCGGAUGUCAAGAUGGAUUACAUUCCCAAAGAAUCAAGUAGUGAAGAAGAAAAGGACGAACAAUCGGAUUCAUCUUCUAAUUCAGCUGCUGGGUCUAGUGCCCAUAGUAAUUCAGGAGUAAAAACAUCGUCACGUGCCAGUCGUAGAAAACAUCGUAAUAAGUAUCGCGAAUCAUCUAAUUCGGAUACCGGUGAAUCUGAGGACGAACCUUCAGUUGCAAAAAAGGUACAAGAGUUAUAUUUUGAAGAAAAUAAACCAGAAGAAAAAGAAUCAAGUACAAACAGAAAUGAAUUUCCUUUACCUGAGCCAAGAUCAAAUUCUGUUCAGGAAAAUAACAUUGAAAUGGAAAUUGAACAACAUGAAAGCAAUAAAGAAACCUUGAAUAUUAUAAAUGAUAAACCAGAACAUGAUUUACUCACAAGUAAUCUGAUUUUGAAUCAAAAACCAGCAAAAGUUAACUUGAAAAGAUCAUUUACUACAAGGUUAUCUGCAGAUUUAACAGAUGUUACGAAGGAAGAAAUGACUGCAAAACUUGACAGUGAACAUGUACAAAACAAAGAAAAUAUUACUAACACUGAACAAUCGGAAGGAAAAUGCAUUAUGCGCAAACGGCGGUGGGGAACUGCUUUGCCCACUGAUGUUACUCCAGCAUUUUCUGUUUCAACAGAGUCUUUGAAGGUCUUAGUGCCAGGAGCAAAACCAUUAUCUAUUAAUGAAGUUCGAUUAUCAAAGGAUGAUGACGAAGAAAGGGAUCAACGUAAAGAUCGAGAAAAAAGUCGUUUAUCAGGAGACAGUGUUGGAGAAUAUAAACCAAAAGAUGAAGGCAUAUUGCAGAAAAACGAAGCAACAAGAAGAAAAAUUUCUAUUGUCAAAGAUGCUCCCCAUGUCAAGUCACCUAGUCCGCCUGCUAUUAAGCCUACAAACAUACUUCUCAUUAAAAACUUGGUUCGCCCAUUUACAUUAAAUCAGAUCAAAGAACUACUGUCACGCACGGGCACUAUUGUAGAAAAUGGUUUUUGGAUGGACAGAAUAAAAUCCAAAUGUUUUGUAGAGUAUUCCAAUGAAGAUCAAGCCUUUGAAACAAGACAAGCAUUGCAUGGUAUAUCAUGGCCAAUAUCAAAUCCUAAAAGGCUUCAAGUGGAAUAUGCUACAAAGGAUGACAUGGAAUUAGCUCGUGAAUUAUCUAAGGAUCAGCCUAUUCCACGUAAAACCGAACCACUUCUACCAUCAGAUCCUUGGCAUCACGACUGGGCACGCGACGAGAGGACUAAUUCUGCGCCUAAAGUCACGAUUGUGAGAGAAUGGGAUUUAGGUAAAGAAGAUGGUCCUUUACACGUUAAGGAGAAAGAGCGAGAGAAGAAAGAAAUGGACAAGAAAAGACGACAAAGAAGUCGUAGCCCACUCUUGGAAGCACAUUUGCCAGCGCCUGCUCGCAAAUUUAAGAAGAAAGAAGAUGAUCCACCGCCGGCCAAGCUUUUAGAUGAUCUCUUUAGAAAAACGAAAGCUGUACCCUGCAUAUAUUGGUUACCGCUCACGAAUGAACAAAUUGUGGUAAAAGAAGAAAUGCGAAGGCAGCAUAUGGCGGAACACGCUCGUCGAUUGGAGGAGAUGAGACGCGCAGAGAGGAACAGAGAUGGCCGCCGCCGUCGUAGUCCCCGAAAAUAAAGAAACAAUGCCUUAUCACCACUCGAUAAUUACCUUUUCGUUCCGAUCUAACAAAAAAAAAAACUGACUGACGGACCUACAGCAAUUAUGUUGUCCCGAAUUAAAGAAAAGGUCAACAUUUACUAUUCAUCGGUGGUGAUAAUGACUAAACAGAUUCAUAGUGGUACCAUAUGUGCCCUAUCGACGAUGGGAUAUAUUGUUUCUUGGAAUGUGGCUGCGAGGCUCAAUGAUCGACGUAAUAGAGUAAUACAUGCUCGACGACACAGCUCGUUCUCUUUCGAUGAGAAUAGCAACGUGGGAUUAGAAGACAAAACUUUCACGUUAUUCAUUACCCAAAUAGUGUUUAUACUUAAAGCAAAAAAAAAAUGAUAGUAAUUCGCAUUAAACACAUUUUAUAAUUCAAUUGACACCCUGCAAAAGUUAAAUGGCAACAGUAAUUACUGUCAUUUAAAGUGCAUAGAAGCGUCCUAAACGUUCGUAAAACUGACAUUUAUUAUUUCCAAGAUAUACUUAUAUCAUAUAAUGCGGCUAGAGCGUGUGGAUCUAUCAUAAAUCGGGCAACUCUACCCUGUACAAUGUGCGAUGCAAGCGCAAUAUCGUUUACUAUGAGAGCCCAUUGUACAUAUAAAUAUCUAAUAUUCCAAGCGUGUAAAAUUAUCAAUAAAAUAGAGGAUCCAAUAAGAAAUAAUCUGGUUUUCUCUCACGAAAAAUAGCUUUAGUAUUGUCAUAUAGCAAACAUGAAAAGCAUGUUCUUUUAUCUUGAUCUAAUAAAUAAGCGAUAUUAUAA